rnacentral:rRNA from 1 species
CAGAAUGACCAGAGAACCGGUAACAAACUCAAUGGAGACUGUGGGCUUCGCCCAACGUCUCCAGACGCUUGGAUGGCACGGGUGCCUACGGGCGCUCGGGCUUUCUCGGCGGCACAACGAACCCCGGCGCGGAAUGCGCCAAGGAACUUUAACAAGAGAGCGAUGCUCCCGCCGCCCCAGACAUGGUGCGUGUGCGGGAUGCCAUGCAAUCUCCUAUUAUUCAUAACGACUCUCGGCAACGGAUAUCUCGGCUCUCGCAUCGAUGAAGAACGUAGCGAACUGCGAUACUUGGUGUGAAUUGCAGAAUCCCGUGAACCAUCGAGUCUUUGAACGCAAGUUGCGCCCGAAGCUUCGGUUGAGGGCACGUUUGCCUGGGUGUCACACAUGGCGUUGCCCCUAACCCCUCGCCUUGAAUUGGGCGGGCGGGACUUGGGUGCGUAUGUUGGCCUCCCGAGAUGACCUUAUCUCGGUUGGCCCAAAAUCGAGCGUUGGAGCGAUUAGCACCACGACAUUCGGUGGUUGAUGAGACCCCAAUGAUCAAUGUCGUGCGUGUCGCUCGUGCACAUGCUCCACGAAUCUACCUUUCACCAACGCGACCCCAGGUCAAGCGGGGCUACCCGCUG